rnacentral:rRNA from 1 species
UACGGGGGGGCAAGCGUUGUUCGGAAUCAUUGGGCGUAAAGGGCGCGUAGGUGGUUCUGUAUGUCUACCGUGAAAGCGUACGGCUCAACCGUAUUUUGUCGGUAGAAACUGCAGGACUUGAGGCUGGGAGGGGCUGGUGGAAUUCCCUGUGUAGCGGUGAAAUGCGUAGAGAUGGGGGAGAACACUCGUGGCGAAGGCGGCCAGCUAGACCAGUUCUGACACUGAGGCGCGACAGCGUGGGGAGCAAACAGG